rnacentral:lncRNA from 1 species
CAUCUCUCAAGAACUUCUGCAAGAAUAAAGAGGUGGUUCCAACGCCUGAAAAAAAACAACAUGACAUUCUAGAAGAAAAACCCACACCUGCACUGACAGAAACCCAAGUAGAAGCAGAAGUUCCAAGAGAUCCAUCAAUAGGACAAGAAUCACUAGAAGAAUCAUCAUUAACUCAAGACCAAAGACUCAAUGAGCAACAAGAAUCCUUUGUAAAGUCAUCUUUGGGCACACCAUCCCCAGAACAAAGGCCUGAGAAAAAGGAAUCCCCUACCCAAUCAUGCUUGGGUCCAAUACCUCCAAAGCAUCAACUUGAACAGCAAAAGAUACCUGUACAGCUGUCCUUGGGACCACCAUCUCCAGAGCAACAAGAGGUACAUAUACAGUCAUUUCUGGGACUGCCAUUCCUAGAGCAGAAACUUGAACAACAAGUGGUACCUGUACAGCUGUCCUUGGGACCACCAUCCCCAGAGCAACAACUUGAACAAGAGUCUCCUGGACAGUUAUUCUUAGGACCAUCAUCCCCAGAGUAGCAACUCAGAUGGCAAGAGAUACCUGUAUCUUUCAAACUACCAUCUCCAGAGCAACAGUUUGAACGAGAGUCCUCUAAAGAGUCAUCCUUGGGACAGUUUUUAGAACAACCACCCGAGCAAUGAGAAUGUCUUAAAUAGUCAUCUUUGGGACCGCCAUUCCAAGAAUAUCCACCCAAGCAACUAGAUCCCAAUGACAGUCUUCCUUGAGAUAACAAUCUCAGAAACAGAUGACUCUGGGACAGCACAUGAAACAAAUAAUAUGAUGCCAAAAUAUCAGCCAUGUUGUGAAGAGAAACAGUCAGGACUUGGACCAGGACCAUAGGCAAAUGAAAAUAAAAUUAGACAAUUUAUUUUCAUAUUAUGCUGAGAUAUGCCAGUAGGGUAUUACAAUUGUCAACCUCAUAUUUUGAUGGCCGGACUUAACGCUUAAAAGAUGAGUAAGAUUAAAUUCAUCUGGAAUCCC